rnacentral:lncRNA from 1 species
CAUUUCUGACUCUCUAGUUCUUAUCUUCUUUUUUUCCUUAGAGAGAGCGAGAGAGAGAGAGAGAGAUCAUGCUAUGCUGGCGCAGUCAACCCAAGCUCAAGCUGUCUCCAGCACUGCUUGUGAGCCGGGCCCACGUUGCUGCCCAGGGACUCGGUGAGGCCACCUGGGAACCGACGGUGUCCACUGAUGGACGUUUUCCUGGGCUGAAGUAUUUCAGAUGCCCAGUGUACUCCCAGCCCUCACAGCGGUCAGUUCUGCUUCACGGGUUUCCCACAUGAUUUGGCUAAGACGUCAGCCGGCAAAGACGCUUGGGUUGGCUUUAGACAUUACGAAUAAAAGGAAGCUGCGGGAGGCGGUCAAAGUCUGAGACAUGACAGGUGACACAGGAGGGGACGGGAGGGGGGAUUCGGCCGCGGGGACCCCAUCCAGGAUUCCAGUAGCAGACAUUCCUCUUUCCUUCUUUUAUUACCCACAAGGUCAAAGCUGAAAUCACAGGGGGCUGCGUUGCCUUUUGAUGGGAGAGCCAGAGGCUGCAUUCCGAAGAUUGCACGAUGCCAGCUCCCAACUGCGAGGGGGCAGAUUUGUUGGAAUUUCUCAAAUCCAGUCUUUGAUACAUGCGUUGUUCCUUCAAUUGCUAAUAAACGGUCUUGGGGAGAAAAAA